rnacentral:tRNA from 2 species
UACUAGGUGGCCGAUUUAAGGUGUAAGUCUUUUAAACUUAUUAUAGAUAUCUCUUCUAGUAA